GUGCAGGGGGGGCUGCUAAUACAUGCAGUCGAGCGGACCGACGGGAGCUUGCUCCCUUAGGUCAGCGGCGGACGGGUGAGUAACACGUGGGUAACCUGCCUGUAAGACUGGGAUAACUCCGGGAAACCGGGGCUAAUACCGGAUGCUUGAUUGAACCGCAUGGUUCAAUCAUAAAAGGUGGCUUUUAGCUACCACUUGCAGAUGGACCCGCGGCGCAUUAGCUAGUUGGUGAGGUAACGGCUCACCAAGGCGACGAUGCGUAGCCGACCUGAGAGGGUGAUCGGCCACACUGGGACUGAGACACGGCCCAGACUCCUACGGGAGGCAGCAGUAGGGAAUCUUCCGCAAUGGACGAAAGUCUGACGGAGCAACGCCGCGUGAGUGAUGAAGGUUUUCGGAUCGUAAAACUCUGUUGUUAGGGAAGAACAAGUACCGUUCGAAUAGGGCGGCACCUUGACGGUACCUAACCAGAAAGCCACGGCUAACUACGUGCCAGCAGCCGCGGUAAUACGUAGGUGGCAAGCGUUGUCCGGAAUUAUUGGGCGUAAAGCGCGCGCAGGCGGUUUCUUAAGUCUGAUGUGAAAGCCCCCGGCUCAACCGGGGAGGGUCAUUGGAAACUGGGGAACUUGAGUGCAGAAGAGGAGAGUGGAAUUCCACGUGUAGCGGUGAAAUGCGUAGAGAUGUGGAGGAACACCAGUGGCGAAGGGCGACUCUCUGGUCUGUAACUGACGCUGAGGCGCGAAAGCGUGGGGAAGCGAACAAGAAUUAGAUACCCUUGGUA
rnacentral:rRNA from 1 species